UCUUGAACACAAUCUAGAAGCGAAAGGAGAUGCCUUUCAAGCAGGAAGACCCAAAAUCAAUUUAUUGCAGCAGAUGGUUCAAACAGUGGAGCUGAAGAGUAGUUGGAUCAGCUGUAGCAGUUAUUUCAUGUGACAGCACCAGCAAACGGUGGUUAAAAUUGAUGGACUGAAGCGCCAUCGAGUGAAUUGCUAAUGUAUUGUGACCUGUGGAAUAGCCAAGAAUAGUAGGAAAAAACUGCAGGCUGAUGGCCGCUGACACAUGUGAAGUCAUUACUACAGUGGUGUUUGUUGCAUGACUUUUAAGCCAGGUGCUAACCUCUCAGUAUAUAAACGAA
rnacentral:lncRNA from 1 species